rnacentral:rRNA from 1 species
AGUGAACGCUGGCGGCAGGCCUAACACAUGCAAGUCGAGCGGCAGCGGGUCCUUCGGGAUGCCGGCGAGCGGCGGACGGGUGAGGAAUACAUCGGAAUCUGCCCUGUCGUGGGGGAUAACCUAGGGAAACUUAGGCUAAUACCGCAUACGACCUACGGGUGAAAGCGGGGGAUCGCAAGACCUCGCGCGACAGGAUGAGCCGAUGUCCGAUUAGCUAGUUGGCGGGGUAAAGGCCCACCAAGGCGACGAUCGGUAGCUGGUCUGAGAGGAUGAUCAGCCACACUGGGACUGAGACACGGCCCAGACUCCUACGGGAGGCAGCAGUGGGGAAUAUUGGACAAUGGGCGCAAGCCUGAUCCAGCCAUGCCGCGUGGGUGAAGAAGGCCUUCGGGUUGUAAAGCCCUUCUGUCCGGGAAGAAAUCGUCUGGGCUAAUACCCCGGGCGGAUGACGGUACCGGAAGAAUAAGCACCGGCUAACUUCGUG